CUAUCACUCCGACGAAGGCCAUGCCAGGCCGUUGUGGUCGUCUCCUCCUCGAUGUCGGUACGCAUUUGAUCGAAACCCUAACUCCUCCUUUGGCUCGGCGUCAACCUCCAGACCGUCGGCAUCCCUGGUCUACGCACCAAGCCCUGUCAUUUGACCUAUCUCUUGGACGUUCCCUCUUGCUCGAUUUGGCUUUGUUGUGCUACUUUGUGCUGUUGAUGUUGCCAUCGUCGUCGUUGAUGGCGUGGUUGCUGCUGGGGUGUCAAGGUACUGCGGCUGGUGUAUCGGCACUGGCUGUCUCAGCUGAGGGAGGAGAGGGAUAUGAAGCCCCAAACCUUCGCCCGCCUCGUUUCUGCUUUGCUAUAUGAGAAAAGGAACGUGAAUCAAAGAAAGAUACUGUGCAAGAUGAACAAGUAGAAACUGAGAUGCAGGUGUUUCAACCGAGAAUAUUGGGCAAAACUUCUUCUUGAGAUAAUUCAAAAAAACCAUCACAUAAAUGCAGUCAUUCCUCCUCCUAUUUGGUGCAGGUUAUUACCGGGCAACCUCGGCGCGCCUCAUCGCCUGAUCAGCGAUCUCAGACAACUCCCUGUAGCUGUUAUUGUCGUUGAAGAGUGCUGAGGUGUCCGGGACCUGCAGGCCAUGGAGGGUGCGCUGAGC